AUUGAACGCUGGCGGCAGGCCUAACCCCUGCACGUCGAACGAGUGGCGGACGGGUGAGUAAUGUCUGGGAAACUGCCUGAUGGAGGGGGAUAACUACUGGAAACGGUAACUAAUACCGCAUACCAUCAGAUGUGCCCAGAAGGGAUUAGCUAGUUGGGGGGGUAACGGCACACGAAGGAGACGAUCCCUAGCUGGUCUGAGAGGAUGACCAGCCACACUGGAACUGAGACACGGGCCAGACUCCUACGGGAGGGAGCAGUGGGGAAUAUUGCACAAUGGGCGCAAGCCUGAUGCAGCCAUGCCGCGUGGAUGAAGAAGGCCUGCGGGUUGUAAAGUACUUUCAGCGGGGAGGCGUUACCCGCAGAAGAAGCACCGGCUAACUCCGUGCCAGCAGCCGCGGUAAUAC
rnacentral:rRNA from 1 species